UACAGAGGUCCCGAGCGUUGUUCGGAUUCACUGGGCGUAAAGGGUGCGCAGGUGGCCAUGCAAGUUCGAUGUGAAAGCCCCGGGCUUAACCCGGGAAUGGCAUUGAAAACUGCGUGGCUGGAGGAUCGGAGGGGGGACUGGAAUUCUUGGUGUAGCAGUGAAAUGCGUAGAUAUCAAGAGGAACACCAGUGGCGAAGGCGAGUCCCUGGACGAUACCUGACACUGAGGCACGAAAGCUAGGGGAGCAAACAGGAUUAGAUACCCCCGUAGUCC
rnacentral:rRNA from 1 species